rnacentral:rRNA from 1 species
UCCUGGCUCAGGAUGAACGCUAGCUACAGGCUUAACACAUGCAAGUCGAGGGGCAUCAUGAUCAAGGCUUGCUUGAUUGAUGGCGACCGGCGCACGGGUGAGUAACGCGUAUCCAACCUUCCCCCUAGCAGGGCAUAGCCCGGCGAAAGUCGGAUUAAUACCCUAUGUUUUCCGUUGAUGGCAUCUGACAUGGAAUAAAGAUUCAUCGCUAGGGGAUGGGGAUGCGUCCGAUUAGGUAGUCGGCGGGGUAACGGCCCACCGAGCCUUCGAUCGGUAGGGGUUCUGAGAGGAAGGUCCCCCACAUUGGAACUGAGACACGGUCCAAACUCCUACGGGAGGCAGCAGUGAGGAAUAUUGGUCAAUGGGCGUGAGCCUGAACCAGCCAAAGUAGCGUGCAGGAUGACGGCCCUAUGGGUUGUAAACUGCUUUUGCCGGGGAAUAAAGUGAGGGACGUGUCCCUUUUUGUAUGUACCCGGAGAAUAAGGACCGGCUAAUUCCGUGCCAGCCGCGGC